GGAAUUUUUCCCAAUGGACGAAAGUUUGACGGAGCAACGCCGCGUGAGUGAUGAAGGUUUUYGGGAUCGUAAARCUCUGUUGUUAGGGAAGAACAMGUACCRUUMGAAUAGGGYGGUACCUUGACGGUMCCUAACMARAAASCCACGGCUAACUACKUGCCASCASCCGCGGUAAUACKUAGGUGGCAAGCGUUGUCCGGAAUUAUUGGGCGUAAAGGGCUCGCAGGCGGCUUUUUAAGUCUGAUGUGAAAGCCCCCGGCUCAACCGGGGAGGGUCAUUGGAAACUGGGGAACUUGAGUGCAGAAGAGGAGAGUGGAAUUCCACGUGUAGCGGUGAAAUGCGUAGAGAUGUGGAGGAACACCAGUGGCGAAGGCGACUCUUUGGUCUGUAACUGACGCUGAGGAGCGAAAGCGUGGGGAGCGAACAGGAUUAGAUACCCUGGUAGUCCACGCCGUAAACGAUGAGUGCUAAGU
rnacentral:rRNA from 1 species